rnacentral:lncRNA from 1 species
ACAACAACAAUUUCCAGGGCAGCAACAACCAUUUCCACCACAACAGCCAUAUCCGCAGCCGCAACCAUUUCCAUCACAACAACCAUAUCUGCAGCUGCAACCAUUUCCGCAGCCGCAACUACCAUAUCCGCAGCCGCAACUACCAUAUCCGCAGCCGCAACUACCAUAUCCGCAGCCGCAACCAUUUCGACCACAACAACCAUAUCCACAAUCGCAACCACAGUAUUCGCAACCACAACAACCAAUUUCGCAGCAGCAGCAGCAACAACAACAACAACAACAAAAACAACAACAACAACAACAACAACAACAGAUCCUUCAACAAAUUUUGCAACAACAACUGAUUCCAUGCAGGGAUGUUGUAUUGCAACAACACAGCAUAGCGUAUGGAAGCUCACAAGUUUUGCAACAAAGUACUUACCAGCUGGUGCAACAAUUGUGUUGUCAGCAGCUGUGGCAGAUCCCCGAGCAGUCGCGGUGCCAAGCCAUCCACAAUGUUGUUCAUGCUAUUAUUCUGCAUCAACAGCAACAACAACAACAACAACAACAACAAAAACAACCAUUGAGCCAGGUCUCCUUCCAACAGCCUCAACAACAAUAUCCAUCAGGCCAGGGCUCCUUCCAGCCAUCUCAGCAAAACCCACAGGCCCAGGGCUCUGUCCAGCCUCAACAACUGCCCCAGUUUGAGGAAAUAAGGAACCUAGCGCUAGAGACGCUACCUGCAAUGUGCAAUGUCUAUAUCCCUCCAUAUUGCACCAUUGCUCCAGUUGGCAUCUUCGGUACUAACUGAGAAGAGAAGAACUCUAGUAGUAGAUAUAUGAUACACCGUUUUCUUAGUCCAUGGUUUGGUCGUUGUAGCGGUGAAAAAAUAAAGUGACAUGCACUAUCAUGUAAGAACCCGAACUAUACUAGUUCAAACAUGGGAAUAAAAGACAAACACAUGUCUUGUCUACAUAUGAUUGUUUGUUUGAGUUCCACUCAUGUGCCCACUCACAAGUUCACCCCUAAUUAUAUAUAUUAUGCAUUAAGUAGAUAUUUAUGUUGCAUUAAUCUAAAGAUAACAAAAUGAGUCUGAAAUUUGAAUUAAAUUGAAGUAUUUCCUUGGACUUUCAAAUGGAGUAUUAUUAAAGUAGUAAGGACUAUCCACAUCCUUGGCUUGCCCUUGAUCAAUUAUUUCCAGAGAAGCAUUCAAUUCAUUAAUCAAUUACAUUGAUUUUUGUGGCUGAUACUUUUCCUCAACAUGAGUAUAUUCAUCGCGGCUACUCCAAAUAGGCAUGAAUGAGGUACCGGUGCUCUGGAGCACUGGUACCUAACUGCUUCUCAUGUGAAGGGGUGGGGGUGCGGGAGAGGUGUUUUUGGUGGGCCAGGGGAGUAAGAAGCGGCCGUGGCAGCGGUCCAGACACCCACAAAGCCCCGUAGUUUGUUUUUGGUUUACAGGAAAAUGCACAUCCAGACCGGCCUGCGGGCCGAUAUAGGACCGUAUUGAAUGGCAAAACAUGUCCGGAUGGUUGCGAGCGGUUUAAGGGUUAGCUUUUGUAACGGCCGGUUAGUUAUGCUAUGGUAAUUCCCUGCUAAUGAUGUCACGUCAGCACGAUUACUGUUGUUAACCUCACAAUGAUUCAAUCCCAUUCAAAUUCAAAUUUAAAAUAAAGGCAAACAUCAAAAGUUUCAAACAUUAAAACUAAAAUCUUCGAGAGGUGAAAAAUAAUGCAUAAGUAAUUAUGGUGGAGAAACCACACUUUUAUAAAAUGUUUAAAUACUCUAAAAAUAAUAAAACAGUGGCUUAAACUAUUAUUUAAAUGCUUUUAAAAUAGUAAAAAUGUUCUAACUAAAUUAAUUGGGUACCAAACUUUUGGUGGCAGUGGUAUAUUUAGUAGAACUAAUUUAGAUGCUAAUAAAACAUAAAAGGAAAGACAAAANNNNNNNNNNNNNNNNNNNNNNNNNNNNNNNNNNNNNNNNNNNNNNNNNNNNNNNNNNNNNNNNNNNNNNNNNNNNNNNNNNNNNNNNNNNNNNNNNNNNCCCAGCUAAAGGCCCACAAGAUUUUGCGGACCACAAUGGGCCGACCCAGUUAAAGGCCCACAAGAUUCUGCCGACCAUAAUGGUCCGGCCCAGCUAAAGGCCCAACAUUCUUUGUCAAAUUGGCCCGUCAACGGCGUGUCCUAAACUUGUCAUCAACGCGGCCCAUUGUUACUUCUGGCCCGUUAAUAGUCCGCUAAGUAAUUGGGCCAAAUUACGGCCCGGUGUAUUUCCGGCCUGUUAAAGGUCCGGCUUCAUUUGGGCCCAUUUACAGGCCAUCAAAACUUUCGGCCCAUAAACGACCGUGAAGGAUUUGGGUCAUAGUCGGCCAUGUCUGACAUUCGGCCUGUUAGAGGCCCACUAUAGCUUUGGGCCACUUUCGGCCUGUUAAUGCCGGACGUAAACCAUGGGCCAUAUGUGGCCCAACGUCAUAUCGGGCCCAUUAACGGCCCAUAUAAAAAUUACGAUAAUCUAGCCCGACCGAAGUUCCGGCCUGUUAAAGACCCGUGUAUUAGGUCGGCGCAUUUACGGCCCAUCCGAAUUUCGUCCUGUCAAAGAUCCACAUCGUAAAUGGGCCACCAUUUCGGCCUGCUAAGUCCAGUGGGUUAUUUGGCACAAUCAGGGCCCAAUCUCACUUUCGGUCUAUUAAAGGCCCAUGUUUUUUAUGGGCUCGAGAUAUUUACACCUGUAAAUGGCCUAUUUUUACUGUGGGCCCAAAUUAUGUUUAGGCCUGUUAAAGGCCCACUAUGGGCACAGGCCUACCAGAAAAAUAUGAAAGCUUAUGCUGAUUUAGGCCCAGAUAUUUUUAGUGGGCUACAUGACAAUUUCGGCCCGUAAUCGUUUUUAGCCCAAUUGGAAUGGUCCCGAUGAAUGUUGGCAUGUUGGGCUCCUACGAAGCUUUCGGCGAAUACAUUACUAAGAUAAACCUACACUAUACAAAAAUAGCAUCGUAAUUACUGCAGCCUGAGGCAGCAUCAUAAAUAUUGUAUCACAAAAAAAUAAAUUCCAACCAUACAACAAAAGGCCUGUUGGCAUAAAGUUUAUAGUCCUUCCAGAUAAAAGCACCAUUAGAUGUAUAGAAGCACAAAUCAUUUGUCCUGAGUGCUAAUGUUUUAGGCUGUAGAAUCUGAUGGAGCAGCACGAUCUCCACCUUUUUUCCGCCAUUGCUCUUGAACAACUAAGCGAAUGUCUGAUAGUCUGGUUUCAAAACCAUUCAUAUCUUGACGACAUUUCUCAACCUCUAUUCUUGUUUCCGAAACAACGUCCAUUAGGGAUUGGACUUGUGUCUGGAGCACAGAUAGAUCACUUUGUCUAGCAGGAAGAUUUUGUUCAGUAGGAUAUUUGGACGAGGUUACCUUCACAACCAACCCAGAAUUACGCAGGAAGGUGCUUUUUGCACUGUUAGUGGAGAGAUACUGACGCACUGCAUCAAGAGGUGGUUGUGGCUGUAGUAGCCUCGUCACCUUCAGGUGGUUGUGGCUAUUCAAUCAUUUGUUCCAUAGCUUCCUGAAAGUUUGAACUUGUAGAUUAGUGUACCAGAUAAGUUACUAAUGAGACAAAAACAAACAAAGUAGGUUAAACAUUUAUACAUAACUUAUUUUGGUAAACUAAUGUAAUACAUUACCAUGUAUUGUAGUGCCAACUACAUAAUAAAUUAACUUUCGGAACAUAUGUCCAUGUAGCAUGCCUACUGUAUUGUCUAUUUCCUCACAUUCGUUGACAUCUAAGGAUAAAGAGACAUGGUUUAAAGUAGGAUGAACAUAGUAUGACAUCAUUCAUAUCAUGGGCAAACAAAUAUAAAACAAACAUGCUAUUUUAUCAUUGUGUGCGCACGUGAACAUAACAACUAGAUUACAGAUCAAGACCAAAAGAAUAUCCUUCAUCUCUUUUAAACCAUGUAAGGUGAAAUGAUACGUUAAGACAACUGUGAAUAAAAGUGAACAAAGUAACUGACAUUGGCUACAAACCAAGUAGUUAAAUGAACACAUCACAGUACCAAUCAGUUCAAGGCAGGAGGAGUAAGGACUUACAACAGCGGCUUGAACUGGUGUGCUCAUGCCCUUCAUCUUGCUGGUGUGGCAAUCNNNNNNNNNNNNNNNNNNNNNNNNNNNNNNNNNNNNNNNNNNNNNNNNNNNNNNNNNNNNNNNNNNNNNNNNNNNNNNNNNNNNNNNNNNNNNNNNNNNNUUUCUUGGACUAUUACUCUGUUUUGGCGUCCCGGUGUGAUUUCCAUGAUUGACGAACACCGGGGUGCGUUUAUGUGUCGGUUAGCAACACUCGCAUUUUGGGCCGCUUCUGGCCCGUUUCGUCGACUAUUACUCACCGUUUUGGGGCCCCAAAGCGAUUUCCAUGGUUGUUGAACCCCAUGGUGCGCUUACGUGUCGAUCAUCAACAAUCGCAGUUUGGGCCGAUUUUGGCCCGUUUCUUGCACUAUUAAUUAGUUUUGGCCGUCCCGCAGUGAUUUCCACGAUUGACGAACUCCGUGGUGCGUUUACAUGUCAGUCAUCAACACACAAAUUUGGUCGACUCUGGUCCAUUUCGUGCACGAUUAUUCACCAUUUUGGCGUCCCAGAGCGAUUUCCAUGAUUGACAAUUCUCGGGGUGCGUUUGCGUGUCUGUCCUCAACACUCGCAGUUUAGGCCAAUUCUGACGCGAUUCGAGGACUAUUACUCAACAUUUAGGGGUCCCGAAGCGAUUUCCAUAGUUGUUGAACCCCAAAAUGCGUUUACGUGCCGGUCAUGAACACUCACAGUUGUGGCCGAUUCUGGCCCGUUUCAUGGACUAUUACUCACUGUUUGGGGUCCCGGUGUGACUUGCGCAACUAACAAACCCCGGGGUGCGUUCACGUGUCGAUCAUCAACACUCGCAGUUUCGGCCGAUUCGGGCUCGUUUUGUGGCACUCGCAGUUUUGGCCGAUUCUGGCCCGUUUCAUGGACUAUUACUCACUGUUUUGGGGUCCCGGAGUGCUUUCCUUGAUUAACAAACCCCGGGGUGCGUUUACGUAUCGGUCAUCAACACUCAUGGUUUUUGUCGAUUCUGACUCGUUUCGUGGACUAUUACUCACCGUUUUGGGGUCCCGAAGAGAUUUCCAUAGUUGUUGAACCCCAAGGUGCGCUUACAUGUAUGUCAUCAACAAUCGCAGUUUGGGCCGAUUUUUGGCCCAUUUCUUGGACUAUUACUUAGUUUCGGGGGUCCUGGAGUGAUUUCCACAAUUUACGAACCCCGUUGUGCGUUUACGUUUCGGUCAUCAACACUCAUAAUUUUGGCCGAUUCUGGUCCGUUUCAUGCACUAUUACUCGCCGCUUUGGGGUCCCAGAGCGAUUUCCAUGGUUGUUGAACUCCAAGGUGCACUUACGUGUCUGUCAUCAACAUUCAUAGCUUUUGCCAAUUCUGGCCCGUUUCUUGGACUAUUACUCUGUUUUGGCGUCCCGGUGUGAUUUCCAUGAUUGACGAACACCGGGGUGCGUUUAUGUGUCGGUUAGCAACACUCGCAUUUUGGGCCGCUUCUGGCCCGUUUCGUCGACUAUUACUCACCAUUUUGGGGCCCCAAAGCGAUUUCCAUGGUUGUUGAACCCCAUGGUGCGCUUACGUGUCGAUCAUCAACAAUCGCAGUUUGGGCCGAUUUUGGCCCGUUUCUUGCACUAUUAAUUAGUUUUGGCCGUCCCGCAGUGAUUUCCACGAUUGAUGAACUCCGUGGUGCGUUUACCUGUCAGUCAUCAACACACAAAUUUGGUCGACUCUGGUCCAUUUCGUGCACGAUUGUUCACCAUUUUGGCGUCCCAGAGCGAUUUCCAUGAUUGACAAUUCUCGGGGUGCGUUUGCGUGUCUGUCCUCAACACUCACAGUUUGGGCCAAUUCUGACGCGAUUCGAGGACUAUUACUCAACAUUUAGGGGUCCCGAAGCGAUUUCCAUAGUUGUUGAACCCCAAAAUGCGUUUACGUGCCGGUCAUGAACACUCAUAGUUGUGGCCGAUUCUGGCCCGUUUCGUGGACUAUUACUCACUGUUUGGGGUCCCGGUGUGACUUGCGCAAUUAACAAACCCCGGGGUGCGUUCACGUGUCGAUCAUCAACACUCGCAGUUUCGGCAGAUUCGGGCUCGUUUUGUGGCACUCGCAGUUUUGGCCGAUUCUGGCCCGUUUCAUGGACUAUUACUCACUGUUUUGGGGUCCCGGAGUGCUUUCCUUGAUUAACAAACCCCGGGGUGCGUUUACGUAUCGGUCAUCAACACUCAUGGUUUUUGUCGAUUCUGACUCGUUUCGUGGACUANNNNNNNNNNNNNNNNNNNNNNNNNNNNNNNNNNNNNNNNNNNNNNNNNNNNNNNNNNNNNNNNNNNNNNNNNNNNNNNNNNNNNNNNNNNNNNNNNNNNAGGGAAAUUAUCACCGUAGAGGUCCUUACUUUGAUGGUACUAAUUUUGCUAGUUGGAAGCAUAAAAUGAAAAUGCAUAUUCUUGGACAUAACCCCGCCGUUUGGGCUAUUGUGUGUGUUGGUUUGCAAGGUGACUUAUUUGAUGGGAAAGAACCAAACCGUGAAGCUACCGCGGAUGAGUUGAAGAUGUUGCAAUACAAUGCUCAAGCUUGUGAUAUUCUCUUCAACGGAUUGUGCCCCGAAGAAUUCAACAAGAUCAGCCGCCUUGAGAAUGCAAAGGAAAUUUGGGACACUUUGAUUGAUAUGCACGAAGGUACCGACUCCGUCAAGGAAUCCAAGUUGGAUGUGCUUCAAAGCCAGCUUGACAAGUUCAAGAUGAAGGAUGGUGAAGGUGUCGCCGAAAUGUACUCUAGGCUCGCUCUCAUCACAAAUGAGAUUGCCGGCUUAGGAAGUGAAGAGAUGACCGAUAAAUUCAUCAUCAAGAGAAGAUCCUAAGAGCCUUGGAUGGAAAAUAUGAUACCGUGUGCACAUUGAUCCAAAUGAUGCCAAAUUACAAAGAUCUCAAGCCAACGGAGGUGAUUGGAAGGAUUGUUGCUCAUGAGAUGUCACUUAAGGAUAAAGAGGAACUUCACAACAAAUCAAGUGGUGCCUAUAAAGCCUCAUGUGAAGCCCCUACAUCAUCAAGUGAGAAACAAGACUUCAAUGAAGAAUUGAGCUUAAUGGUGAAGAACUUCAACAAGUUCUACAAGAGUAGAAGCAAAGAUAGAAGCUCCAAAUCAAGGUCCUACAAUGACAAAAGAUCUUCUAGUCGAGAGCGAAACUGCUACAAUUGUGGAAGACCCGGACACUAUUCCAAUGAGUGUACGGCUCCCUACAAGAGAAGAGAAGAUUCUCCAAAAAGAAGAAGCAAAGGAUCACCACAAAGAGAGAGAAGGAGUAGAGAUGAUCGUUAUGAACGAAGAUACUCACGGAGAAGCAAGGACUCGGAAAGGAAGGAAAAAUCAUCAAGGAGCUACACAAGACGAAGACAUCAAGCUCAUGUUGGUGAAUGGGUAUCCGGUUCCGACUCCGACAGCCACUCCGAGAGAAGUUAUCACUCCGACUCCGAAGAUACUCAAGAGGAAGGUGUUGCCGGUCUAGCACAUGUGUCAACCAACUCCUACGACAUAUUUGACCCACCAAAUGAAGGAAUUGGAAGAUGCUUCAUGGCCAAAGGUCCUAAGGUAACACACCCCGAGUAUGUUGAUUUCAAUAGUGAUGAAGAUGACUUGUUAAGUGAUGAUUUGAUUGGUGACAACUCUAGUGAUGAAUACUAUGAUGAAAGACCAAUUAAUCAUGCUAAUCAAGAUAAAACGAAUGACAAUGAUAAGGAGAAGAUUGAGGCUCUAACUAAAGAACUAAAAACUCUUAAGUUAGCUCAUGACACUAUCUUCGAAGAUCAUCGAGAACUUUUAAGGGCUCAUGAGAAGCUAUGCUUUGAAAAGCUCAAUCUUGAGCAAGAGCAUGAGUUCUUAAAGGCAAUCAAUGAUGAUCUCCGCAAGAAAAGUUCUUCUUACAUUGCCAAGCGUUUACUCUUAUCCACUUACAUGCCUCAAGUCAAAUCUAACAAGAAAGAUUCCUCCUCUAGUGGUAACAAUGAUCAUGCCAAAUCCAAUAGUGUUGCUUCUAGUAGUUCUCUUGAUUCCACUAAUGAUUCUCUUAGCCAAGUUACACUUGAGCAAGAAAAUAGCUUAUUGAAGGGAAUUAUAGAGAAAGGAGUGUACAAGAGCCUUGCCGGGAGUAAGCAAUUCGAGGAAAUUGUGCGCAAGCAAGGAAUGCACCGGAAGAAUCAAGGUGUUGGUUUUGAACGAAAGUUCAAUGCCAAUGGAGUUGAAUGGGAAGAAGAUCAAUACCCCAAGACAAAGUUUGUCCCUCAACAAGAGAAGUAUACUUCUUUCAAGGGGACACAAGCUCAAGAUGAUCUUCCACCACAAGACUACGAGCAAAAAGGCAAGGACAAGCUUCAAGAGGAAAUUGAUGCAUUUGAAGAAGCUCCUAAGACCUUAGUCAAGUGGAUUCCCAAGACUACUUCAAGUUCCACUNNNNNNNNNNNNNNNNNNNNNNNNNNNNNNNNNNNNNNNNNNNNNNNNNNNNNNNNNNNNNNNNNNNNNNNNNNNNNNNNNNNNNNNNNNNNNNNNNNNNGUCCGGCGGCGACGGGGCGGUGGCGUGGUCGCCCCGAUCUCGAUUCAGAUCGGGGGAGUGAGGGGAGAGUGGGGAUCGGGAGUGGGCUAGGGUUUCCGUCGUGGGGGAUAAGGGGAGAGGGGUGGGGGCCGGCCGGGCCUGGUGGUGGCCCAGUUGGCCUGUGGUCAGCUGGGCCGAAGCCCAGGGGGUUUCUUUUCUCUUUUUAUUUUUAUUUUUUUGUAUUGUUUUCUGUUUUCUUUUUAUUUAUUUUCUUUUAUGUUUUUUUAAUUAUCUAUAAACACUUAGGCAUUUAAUAAAAAUUAGUUUGUUGCAUAAUAAUUACCCUUGCAAUAUUCGUCAACCACCGAACAAUUUUAUUUUAAAUUUUUAAAACUUUUAUAGUUUUCAUCAAUUUGAAUUUUGAAUUUGAACGGUUUCGAAUUAUUGCGAGGUUAGCAACAGUAAUCAGGAUGACGUGCCAUGAUUAGCGUGGGAUUACUGUAGUAAGAUUAUCCGGGCGUUACAUACGAGAUCCAUAUGGUUGAACGUACUACUUCCGAAGCUUGAAAUGAAGAAAUGUUUGUGGAAUUUUAAAAUGAUGCUAUUUAAGUAAGUUUUCUAUUUAGCGAAUAAAAAGUCGUCGGUAACAGAUGAAACGUUGAUGUAAAGGUGCUAAACAUGAAUAAUUUAUGUGGAUAAGUUGUUCUGUGACUUCCACAUGGCGGUCGAGAAUCCUCUCAAAGAAUGGAAUGAUAGAAAGGUUGUUCUAAUGUGUCUAAUGUCCUACUUAAAUGAUUUCUAAAUUUUAAAGAAGGAUAAAAUGUAAAGUAAUAAAUCAAGAGGUUAUGAAACACUACUAAAAAUUAUGUGACUCCUACAUAUAUAAGUUCUUGUAGAAUUUUCAAAUGGCGGCAAAGACAACUUCCAAACAAGAAACGAAGCAAGCCUUCUAUCACUUGUCGAUAAUUCUAUUUAAACAAGUUUUCAGUUUCGCAAAAAUAGAAAAUCUACCAUGAUGAAUCAAAACGGUUAAAAAUGUACCAAAUUAUCAGUUUUCUAUUGCUAAGUUGCUAUCUGAGGUGCAUAUAGAUGCAUGGACAACCCUCGAAGCAUGAAAUGGUGGAAACGAUUUUGAAAGAUGUCGAUGACGCUUAAUUAAUAAGUUUUCAGUUUUGGAGGAAGUGAAAAUCUAUAGUGAUGGAUAAAAAGGUAACAAAAUUGGUGAUGAAAUUAUAUGAUUACUAGUUAUAAGUUGUUAUACGAGAUCCAUAUGGUCGAACAUACUACUUGUUUCAAAUGAGUUUUUGUAGAAUUUUCAGAUCGCGGCAUAUACAACUUCGAAACAAGAAAUGAAGCAAGGCUUCUAUCACUUGUCGAUAAUGCUAUUUAAACAAGUUUUCAGUUUCACCAAAAUAGAAAAUCUACUAUGAUGAAUCAAAACGGUUAAAAAUGUACCAAAUUAUCAGAUUUCUAUAGGGUAAGUUGCUAUAUGAGGUGCAUAUAGAUGCAUGGACAACUCACGAAGCAUGAAAUGGUGGGAAUGACUUCGGAAUAUGUCGAUGACGCUUAAUUAAUAAGGUUUCAAAUGAAUAAAAUGAUGGAAAGGCUCUAAUAUUGUGUCUAAUGUCCUAUUUAAAUUAUUUCUGAGUUUCAAAGGAGGAGAAAAUGUAAAGUAAUAAAUCAAAAGGUUAUGAAAAACCACUGAAAAUUAUGUGACUCCUACAUAUAUAAGUUGUUGUAGGAUUUUCAAAUGGCGGCAUAGACAACUUCGAAACAAGAAGUGAAGCAAGGCUUCCAUCACUUAUCGAUAAUGCCAUUUAAACAAGUUUUCAGUUUCGCCAAAAUAGAAAAUCUACCAUGAUGGAUCAAAACGGUUAAAAAUGUACCAAAUUAUCAGAUUUUAUAGGUAAGUUGCUAUAUGAGGUGCAUAUAAAUCAUGGACAACCCACGAAGCAUGAAAUAGUGGAAACGAUUUCGGCACGAAAUGGUGGAAACGAUUUCGGAAUAUGUCGAUGACGCUUAAUUAAUAAUUUUACAUUUUUGAACGAAGUGAAUCUGUAGUGAUGCAUAAAAAGGGAACAAAAUUGGUGAUAAAAUUAUANNNNNNNNNNNNNNNNNNNNNNNNNNNNNNNNNNNNNNNNNNNNNNNNNNNNNNNNNNNNNNNNNNNNNNNNNNNNNNNNNNNNNNNNNNNNNNNNNNNNUGAAAACAAGUCCAGUCCGGUCCUGUUUUGGUCCAGUCUGCGAGACCUCCUCCCCGACCCUCAGAGUGCUGCUUAUCCAAAAUGGCAAUCAUGCGCCCGACUAGAUGUCGGUCGGUCCAACAAUGAGCCGAAGAGCUCGCUCACAAUGUGUGGUUUGUCUCCUAGUCCCUCGAUCCACACUUAACCGGUGAACCCUUGACCAUUGGCUUUAAAAAUUCGAAAAUUUCAGAAAAAGAGGAAUUGAAAAACAAAUGCUCAUUGAUUUGAAAAAAGUUUGCGAACUUGCGAAAGCUCAUGGGGUUUGAAAAAAAAAGUUUGCAAACUCGACAAAGAUCAUGAGGUUUGAACAAUAAGUUUGCAAAUUUGAAAAAAAUUCACGCAUUAAAAAACGUGUAUUUAGCAAAAUAUAAGAGUUCAUGCAUUUGAAAAACUUCACAGAUUUGAAAAAGGUCAGUGCAUUUGCAAAAGUUCAUGAAUGUGGAAAAAAAUCAUGAAUACCAAAUUUUUUCACAACUAUGGAAAAAGUUCAUGAAUUUGUAAAAGUUUUGAAAUUUUAGAAAAAGUUUACAAAUUUGAAAAUAGUUGAUGAAUUGGAAAAAGGAAAGUCAAAAACAAAAACAAAAAGGAAAAAAGGCAGGAAAAGCUGAGAGAAAAACCAAAGAAGUGGGGAAACAAAACAAAAACCAGAUAAAAAAGGAAUGGGGCGGUCCGCUCGGUCAAACCAAUUUUAUGUUCUUUUUGCAUAAUCACAGAAAAUAUAGUUGCUCCCCCCCCCCCACACACACACACAGACCAAAUGUGGCCAAUCGGACCAUAUAUCCCCCAUGGUCCAAAACCGGCUAUUUAUGCCCCUCAAAUCUACUAAAACGGAUAAAUCUUCCCCUAGGUUGGUUUUGGAGAUUAUUUGAGGUAGUAUUGUCUUUAACCGUGUUGACUGGGUAAGUGAGUACAACUGAGUGGGUUGACUGCAUUCAGGAUUGGUUGUUUACCGCAUAGGAGGAAGAGACAUCGUCGGGGCCGUGGACCUGCUCUAUGGUGAUUCUCGAGGACGUCGUUACCAGCCGCCGCCAUAGCAUGGAGACGGGUCGUUGGCUGUCACUGCCAUCGAUAGCCAUGAGACGGGAGGCAGCACCAGAAGGUACCGCUUCAUCGAGCCACUCGACGGGGCAGAAGCUCCAUGGUGCCACUCUUCUGUGACGGCAGUCACAUUUGUGCGCUUUCAAGAGUUAUCCCACAUGAGUUACCCUUAUAGAAAGGUGUUCUUAAUGUGUGUGAUGCUCCCCGUCAAUGGACACGAGUCUAUUUUUAUCCCACACCUUGCCAUGUAGCACACACCACUCUGAAGAGAACAAUCAUGUGCGUUAUUAUGAGAUAUCACAAACGCGUUGCAUGAUCAAACUGGGUGCCCUCUAUCACACACGAGUCUCUUUUAUAAAUCAUGUGCUAUGGGGCCAUUACACAUAUUUCAUUUUAAGGCACAUGGGUUUAUUUUUGUAAUGUAUGUGAUGCCUUCAGCCCACACAGUUUGACGCUCUGUUGUAUGAUAGGUGGGGCUUAAUAGCACCAUUCUUACACUACUGUGAGGACACCUGAGUGCUCGUAAACAAACCAAUUGUAUCAUUGACUACAGGUGGUUGAGAGUUGUACAAACCAGGACAUUCAGGAUUAUACCUGCCUCCUACAAAUUAUUUAGCUAGGUCUGCACAUGCCCAUUACAAGCCCAGAUCUCUCUAUAAAUAUUCCCCAAGAUACAACAUCUAUACAAUGCAUACAACAAUAGUACCUUAGCCACCAGAGUACGAUCCCGUCCUCCUUUGUUCUUCUCCUACGGCAUAUGCCAUAUGAUCCAAGAUAUAUUACCCACAUGAGGUGAGUGGCACUCGGAAUAGAAGGCAAUUGAAAAAAAUUAGCUACUUUCACCAGCGAGCCUUGUGAAAAAUGAAAGCUAAACACUGGCUGUCUGGCUAAAGGCUGUUGAUAGAAUCCCGCAAAAAAAGAGCUGUUGAUAGAGGUGGAAAAAAGCUUAGCAGAGCUGGCUCAUGAUUUGGCUCGUCUAGGCUUGCUAAACCUCACAACACCUNNNNNNNNNNNNNNNNNNNNNNNNNNNNNNNNNNNNNNNNNNNNNNNNNNNNNNNNNNNNNNNNNNNNNNNNNNNNNNNNNNNNNNNNNNNNNNNNNNNNACCAUAUCAAACUUGGAAAUACAACCCAACCUUGUGGAGAAAAUUAAAGAAGCUCAGCCCGGUCACCCCAGCAUUGAAGGAAUUAAAAGAAAGUUGAGUAUGGGCAAGGCCUCGGAAUUCGUAAUAGACAAUAAAGGAAUAUUAUGGUACGGAGAAAGGCUAUGCGUGCCAAACAUAGAAGACCUUAAACAGCAAAUUUUAGCUGAAGCACACACCACUCCAUAUUCGAUCCACCCUGGAGGAACCAAAAUGUAUAAGGAUAUUCAGGAAAGAUUUUGGUGGCACGGUAUGAAGAGGGACAUAGCCGCCUUCAUUGCAUGUUGCGACUCAUGUCAACGCAUAAAAGCUGAACAUCAGAGACCAGCCGGACUACUGCAACCUAACAAAAUACCUGAGUGGAAAUGGGAUGAAAUAGGGAUGGAUUUUAUUGUCAGACUACCUCGGUCACGACACGGGAAUGAUGCCAUAUGGGUCAUCACUGACAGGUUGACCAAGGUGGCACACUUUAUUCCAGUGAAGACAACCUACACCACUCAGAGGCUUGCCAGGAUUUAUCUUUCCCGCAUAGUUUGUCUGCACGGUGUCCCGAAGACUAUAAUAUCCGACAGAGGCACUCAGUUCGUCUCAAGAUUUUGGGAGCAUUUACAACAGGCUCUGGGAACCCAACUAGCCUUCAGUACCGCAUACCACCCACAGACUGAUGGACAAAUAGAACGCGUAAACCAGGUUUUAGAAGACAUGCUGAGAGCAUGUGUCCUCACAUAUGGAACCAGUUGGGAAGAAAGCCUGCCAUACGCCGAGUUCGCAUAUAACAAUAGCUACCAGGCCAGCCUACAAAUGGCACCAUUUGAGGCCUUAUACGGACGAAGGUGUCGUACCCCGUUAAAUUGGUUAGAGACCGGAGACAGCCGCAUCUUCGGACCAGACAUGCUCAGAGAAGCCGAGGAGAAGGUCAAGCUAAUCAGAGACCGACUUAAGACCGCUCAAAGUCGACAGAAGAGUUAUUAUGAUCAGAAACAUCGUAGGGUCAGCUUCGAACCAGGUGAGUUCGUAUACCUGAGAGUGUCCCCGAUGAGAGGAUUGCAAUGGUUUAAGAUUAAAGGAAAGUUAGCACCAAGAUUCAUUGGACCAUUCUGUAUAGUGGCACGAUGAGGCACUGUAGCCUACCAGCUAGACUUACCCGAAGACUUGUCCGACAUUCACGACGUGUUCCACAUCUCUCAAUUAAGGAAGUACGUAAGCAACCCAGAGAAACAAGUAUCCCAUGAAAACAUUGAUGUGCAGCCAGACCUCACUUAUCGAGAACGUCCCGUAAGAAUAUUAGAGGAAUCUGAAAGGAGGACCCGACAGAAGACCAUCAAGUUUUUCAAAGUCCAGUGGAGCAAUUACACCAACAGUGAAGCAACUUGGGAAAGCGAGGAUUUUCUUCGGACUGAGCAUCCACACCUAUUUAAGGAUCAGCUGAAAUCUCGGGGACGAGAUUUUUCCUAAGGGGGUAGGUGUUGUGACACUCUAAAAUUUUUAUUUGGUUUUUAUCAAAAAUUUUGUGGUUUUUGAGGAGAGGUUUUUUUUAAAAAAAAAAUCUUUUUCAGAAAAAACCUUCCACUUAAAAACUUCCUUUGCCUUGGCAAGGAUUUUAUUUUUUUCAAACUUUGGUGUUUGAUCUUUUGGAACUUCUUCUCUGUUGGUUCUCUCUCAAAUUUAUUUUUGGGAGUUUUAAUUUGUUUUAUUUCAAAAUGAAGCUCUAUGAUAAUUUGGGGAUUUUCAUAUCUUGGAACCACCCUUGACUUUGGAUUGUUCCCAUGUGGUAAAACCCUCCAAAAUCUCCCCUACACCUUGUGAUCAACCUAAGUUCUCUGUCCCAACUAAUCCAAACAAGUUUUGGAUUUUAUUCUAAUUAUUUUCCCUCUCAAAUCAAUUCUGAAAAUUAUCUUGAGCCCAAAUGAUUUUCAAAGCAAGUACCAUAUUGCAUUUGAGUUUUGACCUCAAACCAACUCCCCUGGAUAGUCCUUUGUACCCACAACCCAGAACCAUCUUGGUCCACUCCUUCUCUUUUCAAAAUUUUCAAAAUUCAGCCUCUNNNNNNNNNNNNNNNNNNNNNNNNNNNNNNNNNNNNNNNNNNNNNNNNNNNNNNNNNNNNNNNNNNNNNNNNNNNNNNNNNNNNNNNNNNNNNNNNNNNNGAAUCGGCGGAAAUUUGUCUUUUUCAAGAGAGGUGGAUCAAAACUUUUUACACCCAACCAUUUGGUCAAUUGUGCAUUAAAUAUGGCCUAGUAUUUUAGAAAAAUGAUUUGGUCCAAUUUUGCAACAAUUAUUUGGGAGGUCCUUCACAAAAAAACCUCCUUUCGGGCACUCGAAAAAUGGAAAAUGGUUUUUUCGUCCAAAGAAAAUGAAAACUUCCUUAGGCAACAUUGUUUGCCAUUCCAAUAUGCACCCUUGUGCACAAUAUGAGAUCAUUUGAACAAACUAUGCCAUGAAUGUGGCCAUAAGAUUGAUCAUUUGGCUUGAAAGCCAUUCAUCUCCACACGUGAUAGCUCGUUUCUGAGAACACUUUUUUAAAAUAAUUGCCGUACUACAAGUUUGUUAUUUUUCCAGGGAACUUGGCCACAUAUGAUGACACAAUGCGAAGGUUUCCCAAUUUUUUGAUUUUUUGAAUUUUUUAUGCACGUUUCAAAAUGCGGUCAAAACGGCGGGAAUGACCGUUCCUAGCUAGUGGUUGAAUCUUGGAAUUUUUUGGUGUUUCUCUGAUUAAAUAGAUACUUAUGUACCUAGAAAUGAUUUUUGGAAAAAAAUAAAGAGCAAACUACAAGGCAGCUACAGUUGAAAUUUGACCGGCUUCUUGCUGAAUCGAUGGAAAUUUGUCUUUUCAUGAGAGGUGGAUCAAAGCUUCUCACACCAAACCAUUUGGUCAAUAGUGCAUUAAAUAUGUCCUAGUAUUUUAGAAAAUUGAUUUGGUACAAUUUUGCAACAAAUAUUUGGUAGGUCCUUCACAAAAAAGCUUAUUUCGGACACUUGAAAAAUGGAAAAUGGAUUUUUCGUCCACAGAAAAUGAAAACUUCCUUAGGGAACAUUGUUUGCCAUUCCAAUAUGCACCCUUGUGAAAAAUUUGAGAUCAUUUGAACAAACUAUGCCAUGAAUGUGGCCAUAAGAUUGAUCAUUUGGCUUCAAAGCCAUUCAUCUCCACACGUGAUAGCUCGUUUCUGAGAACACUUUUUUGAAAAUAAUUGCCGUAUUACAAGUUUGUUAUUUUUCCUGGGAACUUGGCCACAUAUGAUGACACAAAUGCUAAGGUUUCCCAAUUUUUUGAUUUUUUUUGAAUUUGUUAUGCCCGUUUCAAAAUGCAGUCAAAACGGCGGGAAUGACCGUUCCUAGCUAGUGGUGGAAUCUUGGAAUUUUUUGGUGUUUCUCUGAUUCAAUAGAUACUUAUGUACCUAGAAAUUAUUUUUGUAAAAAAUAAAUAACAAACUAUGAGGCAGCUAUAGUUCAAAUUUGACCCGCUUCCCGCUGAAUCGGCGGAAAUUUGUCUUUUUCAAGAGAGGUGGAUCAAAACUUUUUACACCCAACCAUUUGGUCAAUUGUGCAUUAAAUAUGGCCUAGUAUUUUAGAAAAAUGAUUUGGUCCAAUUUUGCAACAAUUAUUUGUGAGGUCCUUCACAAAAAAACCUCCUUCCGGGCACUCGAAAAAUAGAAAAUGGUUUUUUCGUCCAAAGAAAAUGAAAACUUCCUUAGGCAACAUUGUUUGCCAUUCCAAUAUGCACCCUUGUGCACAAUAUGAGAUCAUUUGAACAAACUAUGCCAUGAAUGUGGCCAUAAGAUUGAUCAUUUGGCUUGAAAGCCAUUCAUCUCCACACGUGAUAGCUCGUUUCUGAGAACACUUUUUUAAAAUAAUUGCCGUACUAGAAGUUUGUUAUUUUUCCAGGGAACUUGGCCACAUAUGAUGACACAAUGCGAAGGUUUCCCAAUUUUUUGAUUUUUUGAAUUUUUUAUGCACGUUUCAAAAUGCGGUCAAAACGGCGGGAAUGACCGUUCCUAGCUAGUGGUUGAAUCUUGGAAUUUUUUGGUGUUUUUCUGAUUAAAUAGAUACUUAUGUACCUAGAAAUGAUUUUUGGAAAAAAAUAAAGAGCAAACUAUGAGGCAGCUACAGUUGAAAUUUGACCGGCUUCUUGCUGAAUCGAUGGAAAUUUGUCUUUUCAUGAGAGGUGGAUCAAAGCUUCUCACACCCAACCAUUUGGUCAAUAGUGCAUUAAAUAUGUCCUAGUAUUUUNNNNNNNNNNNNNNNNNNNNNNNNNNNNNNNNNNNNNNNNNNNNNNNNNNNNNNNNNNNNNNNNNNNNNNNNNNNNNNNNNNNNNNNNNNNNNNNNNNNNUCUCUCUCUCUCUCUCUCUCUCUCUCUCUCGUGUUCUUGAUUUGGCACGAUCUUGAUGUAUCACGAGCUUUGCUAUUAUAGUUGGAUCUUAUGUUUCUCCUCCCCCUCUACUCUCUUGUAGUGAAUAGAGUUUUCCCCUUGAAGUUAUCUUAUCGGAUUGAGUCUUUAAAGAUUUGAGAACACUUGAUGUAUGUCUUGCCGUGCGUAUCUGUGGUGACAAUGGGAUACCACGUGAUUCACUUGAUGUAUGUUUUGGUGAUCAACUUGCGGGUUCCGCCCAUGAACCUAUGCAUAGGGGUUGGCACACGUUUUCGUCGUGAUUCUCCGGUAAAACUUUGGGGCACUCUUUGAGGUCCUUUCUGUUGGUUGAAUAGACGAAUAUGAGAUUGUCUGAUGCAUAUCGUAUAAUCAUACCCACGGAUACUUGAGGUGACAUUGGAGUAUCUAGGUGACAUUAGGGUUUUGGUUGAUUUGUUUCUUAAGGUGUUAUUCUAGUACGAACUCUAGGGCUGUUUGUGACACUUAUAGGAAUAGCCCACCGGAUUGAUUGGAAAGAAUAACUUUGAGGUGGUUUCGUACCCUACCAUAAUCUCUUCGUUCGUUCUCCGCUAUUAGUGACUUUGGAGUGGCUCUUUGUUGCAUGUUGAGGGAUAGUUAUGUGAUCCAAUUAUGUUAGUAUUGUUGAGGGAACUUACAGUAGCGAAAGUAUGAACCCUAGGCCUUGUUUCCUAUCAUUGCAAUACCAUUUAUGCUCACUUUUAUCACUUGCUACCUUGCUAUUUUUAUAUUUUUAGAUAACAAAAACUAUUAUCUACUAUCCAUAUACCACUUGUAUCACCAUCUCUUCGCCGAACUAGUGCACCCAUACAAUUUACCAUUGUAUUGGGUGUGUUGGGGACACAAGAGACUCUUUGUUAUUUGGUUGCAGGGUUGCUUGAGAGAGACCAUCUUCAUCCUACGCCUCCUACGGAUUGAUAAACCUUAGGUCAUCCACUUGAGGGAAAUUUGCUACUGUCCUACAAACCUCUGCACUUGGAGGCCCAACAACGUCUACAAGAAGAAGGUUGUGUGGUAGACAUCAGCGGCGCACGGCGCCGUCGACGGGGGUGAGGCGGCCGGGGAGGAACCCUAACCGCGGCGGCGGCGUCGGGCGGGGGGGUCGAUUGUGAGAGUGAGGGGGUGCGGGGGGCGCUCGGGCAGGUUUUCUUUUCCCCUAGUAGUAGCGCUGGGUAGAGGCCGGCGCUAUUGCUAAGCCCACCAGCUGUAGCGCCUGUUCGAAACAAAUGCUACAGGUAAGUGGGAUACCGUUUUUGCCCUGCGGCCCAUGUAACAGCAGCGCGGCCCAAGCUAACAAACGUUGUUGUUAUUCAAUAGUAGUAGCGUGUUUUCUACCCAGCGCUAAUGGUAAAUACUAGUAGCGUGGGGUCAAAAACAGGCGCUACUAGUAAACUUCUACCUAUAAGCAUUUUCCUAUUAGUGAAUGCAGGGAUGCCCCGCCGCCACUAGCCUCCCCCCCCCACCUGGACUUUGCCAGACGGUGAUUUGGCGACGGCGACAGCAUGGAGGCAGCGUAACUCUAGAUGGGUUCGGUGAACCAUGAUACAUAAUUGCUUUAUGAUCUGAACAGCGAAAUUAACAUACUCAACUUUUUCUCUCUAAAACUAAUAAUGCCUCACAUCUAUUGACUAGCCAUAGGCAGAGCCUGACAAGGACAUGGGUGUACAUUUGUAAACUCAUUAGUUUCUAAACAAUAGUUCAAAUCUCCUAAUUAAUGUUAUAAUUAAUUAGUAGAAUACCAUCUUUUUUUAGCCAUGCACAUCCAAUUUGAAAAUCUUGCCUCCGCCAUCGAACCUAGCGGUACAUACUACCAUGUAAAAUAAAAUAAAUGAACAUGAGGCUCCCUAGGGUCCGGUCACCUUUCACCUCCUGAACGGGACGAUGGAGCAUCGCCGUUCUUGCCUCUCCAUCGCCAGAGAUAACCAGUCGUUGUUGAUGAUGGACGAGCAGUCGCCAACUCCACACUCCUAACGAACUACUGGCCCGGAGAAGAAACCACCAAACUAGAUAUUCAUAUGGUAGANNNNNNNNNNNNNNNNNNNNNNNNNNNNNNNNNNNNNNNNNNNNNNNNNNNNNNNNNNNNNNNNNNNNNNNNNNNNNNNNNNNNNNNNNNNNNNNNNNNNGGGAUACCUCGUCCUCUCGCAUGGUGGCUCCGCGUGGGCCGGGGCUGCUAGACCAGAGUGCAGUGCUAGUGGUGCGCAGUGGAUCAAGGUUGUGAUAGCAGCAUGGCAGGUGCGCGUUGGGCAACCUGGGGCAGUGCAUGCUCGGGGGCUCAACGAUGGCAGCUUCGUAGUGGCCAAAUCUAAUUAGCGGCCGGCCGGCUAUGUCAUGGUUGUGGUGGAGAUGGCGCCGUGGGUAUGGAGGCUACUCUACUCGUGGCGGCCUGUCUUUGUGCCUGGCGUGUCCUGCUGGCGAAGCAGCGGUGCAUUCUAGGGGUGGCAUUCUCGGGCGGCAGAUCUGGUGGUUGCCUUCUCGUCAUAGUGAUGGGAGGUCAAGCGCGGUAAGCAUGGGGUGGCGCACGAGGGAUUCAUGUCCUAGUGCCGGGAUCUGGCGGUCAAGGCGGCAGUUGCCGUUCAUAUGGGCGACGAAAGCGGCCAACGCGGUGGUGGGAGCACAAUACAACACCGGGAAUCAGGGCGGCGACCCCUCUCCUUCGACGGUGGUGGCCCAUGUGGUCGUGUGGGAGAUUCACAGGCUGAAUCUCAAUGUGGUGAUAGCCUUUCUGAGGCUGGUGGCGGUAUGGGACGUCCCCUCCAUCAAUAGAUCGGGUUCAAUGCGUCUCAGCAGGUGACACAUGCGUCUCUUAUGGAGGCGUCAUGUAGUGCCUAUCAUCGUUAGGUGAAGCUGCCCGUGGGUGAUUCGCCGGCGGAUGCUACGCAUGAAGGCUAUUGCGGAGUAGUCAAGUCAUGCCUUGUUCCGACAGGUGCUGCACGGUGGCUCUGGUGGAGAUAUCAUGUUUAGCAUGUCGCUGCUGGAUCAAAGGUGGUGCGAUAGUGACGGGAAGUGAGGCGGUAUGCGACGUCUUUGUAUUCCGACAUCUUUUCACGAGGUAUCCAAUUAUAAAUGUGUCGGUAGACGGACAAGGGACGAUGGUAGAUGCGGCUUCAACAACGAGUUUGUGCACUCUAGUGGAAACACAACACAAGAUCUCUGAUCAGGUUAUGUUGACGCCCGCCUGCAUCAUGUUCUUGCUGAAGAUGGUGGAUCGAAGCCUAGCAUUGGUGAUAGGAAUCCUGAGAUGAACCUUCGGUUGUACUCAUCAUCAUCAGCGCACAUGCGGCGAUUCCUUCUUGAAGGCGUGGCCUAGGAGUUGUAUAUUUUUUGUUUCGAGUUUUUAUUUUUAUCGUAGAGUUAGUGGUUAUCUAGUGACGUAACUAUUGCCAGGCAUGCGUGCUCGGGUUUUAUUUCUGUCUUUUUUUUCGGAUCGAUGUUGUUCAGCUGCUGGAUUUUUAGUUAUUAAUAACAUAAGGCUGUGUGCACCGCUCGAUAAAGAGGCUAGGGUUAUCCUCCUUUUCGUAAAAAAAAUGUACCAACAUUUAAAACAAAUGAUCACAUAAAUUAUAAACUCUAAGAAAAAUAUAUAGUUUUAUUUCUAGUAGAAGUAAAAUAUAUAGUUGAGUUGUACAAAAGAAUGUUAGCCAUAUACCAACAAUUUAAACAAAUGAUAGCAUACAUCAUAAACACCUACAAAAACAAAACAAAAAGUUUGAUUCCUACAAAACAAACGUGGGUUGUGAAUUUAUUUCCAUUAAAAUUUGGGAAAAUAACAAAUAUAUGGAAAAUAUAUAGCUAAACCUGGAUGUGUACUCCCUGAUGAACAAUAAACUAAUAAACUAAAAAAAUAAGCAAAAAAACUGAAGAUUUCAUCAAAGAUGCUGAAAUGCUUAGGCGCUUAAAAAAGUUUUUUUUCCAUAAAUGACAUUCGGGGACAGUGUCGCUUUAGUGGUCUGUGCUGUGUGGACUAUCAUGUUAUGUACUCUUGUUCCCUUUCUAUGUCACCCGGUGCAUUAUAACAUAUAAUCUACGUGCAUUGCAUGUGUAUGGCCCCUUCCAUGUUGUUCUGCAGUGGUGCAUAUGGCUUGGAUGUUAAAAGAUACUAUCACCGUGCCAUCCAGUCUAUAUUUGCAAACAUGUUUUAUCUAUGCAUCAUGAUACACUUUAUGUGCAAGCUCUAUUUUUCUUUCAGCAACUACAAACAUGAUUNNNNNNNNNNNNNNNNNNNNNNNNNNNNNNNNNNNNNNNNNNNNNNNNNNNNNNNNNNNNNNNNNNNNNNNNNNNNNNNNNNNNNNNNNNNNNNNNNNNNAUCGUGCUGUCGUCCCCAAAGGGCGACCGACUCCGCUACGCACUCCAGAACCACUUCGCCGCCUCCAACAACGUCGCCGAGUACGAAGCCCUUGGGCACGGCCUCCGGCUUGCCAAGGAACUCGGCAUCCGGCGCAUCCUGUGCUAUGGCGACUCGGAUCUGGUGGUGCAACAGUGCUCCGGCGAGUGGGACGCCCGCGACUCCAACAUAGCAAGCUACCGCUUCCUUGUCUAGAAGCUGUCCGAGCCCUUCUAGGGCUGCGAGUUCCUCCAUGUUUCGUGCGUGGAGAACGAAGCAGCCGACACACUCGCCAAGAUCGCCUCGUCCCGGCAGUCCAUCCCGUCCGGUGUCUCCCUCGAGCACCUGCACAAGCCAUCCGUCAAGCCGUCGCUGGACUCCGAGUCCAUCCACGUUCCAUAUGACCCGGCCGCAUCUCAACCCAGCCCGGGGGUGCCGAACCCAGCCCGGCGACUGACGAACCCGGCCCGGGGACUGCUAAACCUGGCCCGGGGGCUGCUCAGCCCACCCGGCCACCAUCGCCCUGUACCCAGCCGUCACCAUCCCUGACCCGGGGGCUUCUCAACCCGGCUAGGGGGCUGCCGACCCGGAACCCACCCAGGUGGUCGUCCUUGCCGUGGUGACAGCUCCGUCUUGGGCCCUGCCAAUCUCAGAAUUGCUGAAGAACGGGGUUCUCCCCAUGGAUGAGACCGAGGCCCGGCAGGUGCAAUGUCGGGCGUCCGCCUACAACAUCAUCAACAACGAGCUCGUCAAGCACAGCUCCACCAACGUGUUGCAAUGCUGCAUCGAGCAGGACCAAGGCGUCGACAUCCUCCUCGACAUACACCAGGGUGAGUGCGGGCACCAUGCCGCGUCGCGAUCCCUGGUGGCCAAAGCUUUCCGCCACGGUUUCUACUGGCCGACGGCCCUCCAAGACGCCGAGUCGCUCGUUCUCAAGUGUGAGGGAUGCCAGCGCUCAGCAAGUGCAGCCACCAGCCGGCAUCAGCCCUCCGCACCAUUCUGAUCGCCUGGCCCUUCGCGGUCUGGGGACUCGACAUGGUGGGCCCCUUCAAAACCGCCUGAUGCGGCAUAACGCAUCUGCUGGUGGCGGUGGACAAGUUCACCAAGUGGAUCGAAGCAUGGCCAAUCAAGAAACUGGACGGGCCAACAGCCGUCCGGUUCAUCAAAGACAUCGUGGUUCGCUACGGCAUGCCGAACAACAUCAUCACGGACAAUGGCACCAACUUCGCCAAGGGCCCGCUCGAGCAAUAUUGUUCUGUCUCCGGCAUCCGCCUCACCCUGGCCUCCAUUGCACACCCGCAGUCCAACGGGCAGGUCGAGUGGGCCAACGGCCUCAUCCUGUCAGGCAUUAAGCUGUGGCUCGUAGAGCCACUCAUUCGCUCACCCGACAGCUGGCUCGACGAGUUGUCGGCCGUCCUCUGGAGUCUCCAAACUACGCCGAAUCGGUCGACCGGCUUCACCCCAUUCUUCCUCAUCUAUGGAGCCGAAGCCGUCACCCCGACCGAUGUCGACUUCGACUCACUACGUGUCAUGAUGUACACUAAAGCCAAAGCCAAAGAAGCCCACGAAGACGGCGUCGACCUACUCAAAGAAGCCCGCCUUCUAGCGCUCAUCUGUUCGACCAUAUACCAACAAGGCCUAAGGCAUUACCACAGCAAGAAGAUCAAGCACCUCGUGUUUCUUGAAGGCGACCUCGUCCUAUGACUCGUCCAAGAGCAAGCCGACCAGCACAAGCUGUCCCCUCCAUGGGAGGGCCCAUUCAUCAUGAGUCGGGCCUUGCGCGACCGCAACGCCUACUACCUCAUCAACGGACGCAAAUCAAACAAGCACAAGAAAGACACCGCCGGUGAAGAAAUGACCCAGCCGUGGAAUACGGAACUCCUCCGCCUGUUUUAGAGUUAGUCGUAUGAGUGUAUGUAUGGUUGCCUUUUGUAAAUGUACGAAACUAUGGGGUCCCCGAACGAUGCUCGGGGGCUGCCUUUUGCCGACCAAGUUAUUGAGUCCCCUACUUUUAUGCAUCACUAUGCUUCUGAACCCGGCCACCGGUCCGACUCGCUCGACCNNNNNNNNNNNNNNNNNNNNNNNNNNNNNNNNNNNNNNNNNNNNNNNNNNNNNNNNNNNNNNNNNNNNNNNNNNNNNNNNNNNNNNNNNNNNNNNNNNNNCUUCUAUCAUAGAUCCGAAGGCAAGUUAUUCAGUGCUGAGAAUGGAUCCUUUCUAGAGAAGGAGUUUCUCUCGAAAGAAGUGAGUGAGAGGAAAGUAGAACUUGAUGAGGUAACUGUACCUGCUCCCUUAUUGGAAAGUAGUUCAUCACAGAAAUCUGUUCCUGUGACUACUAGACCGAUUAGUGAGGAAGCUAAUGAUGAUGAUCAUGUAACUUCAGAUCAAGUUACUACCGAACCUCGUAGGUAAACCAGAGUGAGAUCUGCACCAGAGUGGUACGGUAAUCCAGUUCUGGAGGUCAUGUUACUUGACCAUGACGAGCCUACGAACUAUGAGGAAGCGAUGAUGAGCCCAGAUUCCGCGAAAUGGCUUGAGGCCAUGAAAUCUGAGAUGAGAACAAAGUAUGGAUUUUGAUUGACUUGUCCAAUGAUCGGCGAGCUAUUGAGAUUAAAUGGAUUUUCAAGAGGAAGACAGACGCUAAUAGUAGUGUUACUAUCUACAAAGCUAGAAUUGUCGCAAAAAGGUUUUCAACAAGUUCAAGGUGUUGACUACGAUGAGAGUUUCUCACUCGUAUCUAUGCUUAAGUUUGUCUGAAUCAUGUUAGCAAUUGCCGCAUUUUAUGAAAUCCGGCAAAUGGAUAAACAAAACUGCAUUCCUUAAUGGAUUUAUUUGUAUAUGAUACAACCAGAAGGUUUUGUCAAUCCUAAAGGUGCUAACAAACUGUGCAAGCUGCAGCGAUCCAUCUAUGGAUUGGUGCAAGCAUCUCGGAGUUGGAAUAUGCGCUUUGAUGAGAUGAUCAAAGCAUAUAAUUUUAUACAGACUUGCGGUGAAGCCUGUAUUUACAAGAAAGUGAGUGGGAGCACUACAACAUUUCUGAUAAGUAUAUGUGAAUGACAUAUUGUUGAUCAGAAAUAAUGUAGAAUUGUUCUGCAAAGCAUAAAGGAGUGUUUUGAAAGAAGUUUUUCAAAGAAAGACCUCGGUGAAGCUGUUUACAUAUUAAGCAUCAAGAUCUAUAGAGAUAGAUCAAGACGCUUGAUAAGUUUUUUCAAUGAGUACAUACCUUGACAAUAUUUUGAAGUAGUUCAAAAAUGGAACAGUCAAAGAAAGAGUUCUUGGUUGUGUUACAAGGUGUGAAAUUGAGUAAGACUCAAAGCCUGACCACGGCAGAAGAUAGAAAGAGAAUGAAAGUCAUUCCCUAUGCCUCAGCCAUAGGUUCUAUAAAGUAUGCCAUGCUGUGUACCAGAUCUAUUGUAUACCCUACACUAUGUUAAGCAAGGGAGUACAAUAGUGAUCUAAGAGUAGAUCACUGGACAGCGGUCAAAAUUAUCCUUAGUGGAAUAAGGAAAUAUUUCUCGAUUAUAGAGGUGACAAAAGGUUCGUCGUAAAAAGUUACGUCGAUGCAAGUUUUGACACAGAUCUGGAUGACUCUAAGUCUCGAUCUAGAUACAUAUUGAAAGUGGGAGAAAUUAGCUAGAGUAGCUCCGUGCAGAGCAUUGUAGACAUAGAAUUCGCAAAAUACUUACGGGUCUGUAUGUGACAGACCCGUUGACUAAAAUUAUGUCACAAGCAAAACAUGAUCACACCUUAGUACUCUUUGGGUGUUAAUCACAUAAACGAUGUGAACUAGAUUACUGACUCUAGUAAACCCUUUGGGUAUAGGUCACAUGACGAUGUGAACUAUGGGUAUUAAUCACAUGGUGAUGUGAACUAUUAGUGUUGAAUCACAUGGCGAUGUGAACUAGAUUAUUGACUCUAGUGCAAGUGGGAGACUGAAGGAAAUAUGCCCUAGAGGCAAUAAUAAAGUUAUUAUUUAUUUCCUUAUAUCAUGAUAAAUGUUUAUUAUUCAUGCUAGAAUUGUAUUAACCGGAAACAUAAUACAUGUGUGAAUACAUAGACAAACAGAGUGUCACUAGUAUGCCUCUACUUGACUAGCUCGUUAAUCGAAGAUGGUUAUGUUUCCUAACCAUGAACAAAAGAGUUGUUAUUUGAUUAACGGGAUCACAUCAUUAGAAGAAUGAUGUGAUUGACAUGACCCAUUCCAUUAGCUUAGCACCCGAUCGUUUAGUAUGUUGCUAUUGCUUUNNNNNNNNNNNNNNNNNNNNNNNNNNNNNNNNNNNNNNNNNNNNNNNNNNNNNNNNNNNNNNNNNNNNNNNNNNNNNNNNNNNNNNNNNNNNNNNNNNNNAGAAGGAGUUUUUGAGGAUAGGCCUAGUUCUUACAAUCCUAAUUCCAGAGGCCAUCCUUAUGUUGCUCCUACCUGCCAUAUUUGUGGAUUUCAGGGCCAUUCGCCCGCUGAAUGUCAGUGUGGUUACUCCCAUCCUCCCGAUUGUUAUGGCAUGAGCUUCGCCCCACUGCCUAACUCAUACCAAAACAAUUACACACAUGGGUGGUCUAAAAACCAGAAUAUGUCAUAUAGGAGCAAUAACCCUGAGAUCUCAUCGUUUGCCUCUAGUUAUCCAAUGCAGGGAUUCAGGUACAAUGAGGAGAACCACAACUAUGCUCCACAAUAGAUUUAUUCACCUCCUACUCAUAUACCUCAAUACCAGGAGAUGUGUCCAAUGGAGUUAAAUGGUCCUCCAUUUGGUCAACCAACAACUCCAGCACCUUUCGAGCAAUCUCAUGUGCAAGUGCCCACACAAGAUGAAUUUGAUGAUAUAGAAAGAUCACAUUGCUUAGUCUCGAGUUUAGUUGGAGUGCCGAGGAUGAUCCUAUUAGGAAGGUUAUACUAGAUGAAAUGAAGAAGAUCAAGAGUGGAAAAGAGCUAGUGGAAGAAGUAAGGAAGAUUGAGAAGAACAUCAACGCUGGCAGCACUAUUUCUUCACAACUUGAGUUGAGUGUGGCUGAGAUAUCCAUGGUUACAUGUGAGGUUCCAGCACCUUCACAUUUCGUUGAGCAAGAUAGCAAGUGCCUUGAGCAAGAGAUACCUCAGAUUGAAGAAGAUGAACUAGAAGACAAGGAACAAGAUGGUCAAGAGCUGCAAUUCCCAAGUGAUCAAGUUGAAGACUCAUCAUCUAUUACUCCUGAAGAAGUACAAGAAGCUGCUGUAGAUGAAGAUGAAGAACAUGAGAUUCAUUUGCCUAUUGUCAUACCAGAGCGUGAUGUGUCAGGUUUACUCAAUCCUCUUGAUGACAUGAUGCCUUGUGAUUUCUUUGCUACCACCUUGCAUUACAUGAUACCAU